UACAGUAAACUAUAUGUAGUACAGUAGUGGAUUAGAUCAGACCAGGCUUGGUAGGCCAUGGGGACUCUGGCUGGCGAUAGCUAAUUGGUUCGGUCUUGAACAAUGUUUUGAACGAACCAAACAAAACGUUGCAUCGAGCAGAAUCGGGCCCGACUUCAUCUUAUCAACAACAUAGGUCAGAUGGUGGAUUCUUUAUUAUCAAAAAUUAAUUUUUUCAGUUUUAGGCAAAAAGAUAUAUACAAAUUACUUUUUGACGACGGGACCCAGAUUCAACAAGUUGCACAUCCAAGGGGCCAUAUGGAUUAAUUGCACUAUGAAUCAGAAUGAUGAAAAAGUUAUUAUGUUGUUUCUUCAUGUCUUUAUUUUAUUAAAAGGUUAGUUUACUUUCGUCAUCAACUUGAAUCUGACAGACAGGACGCGAUAUUUAAUUUUUUACUUUGAUCUAGAAUUAGAUGAAAAAUCUUAUGUAAAAGAUUGCAAUACAUUAUUAGUAGUCAUAAACUUAUAACUUUAAUAUAUAAACAUCUUGACUGCAAUACAUUAUUAGUAGUUAUAAACGUAUAAUUUUAAUAUAUAAACAUCUUGACUGCAAAACAUUAUUAUUAGUAGUUAUAAACUUAUAAGUUUGUUCAAAAAAAAAGAUUGCAAUACAUUAUUAGUAGUUAUAAGCUUAUAAUUUAAAUAUAUAAGCAUCUUGACUGGUAAGAAAUUUCUUAUAAAUAAACCAUAGGAAUUUGUAUUUUUGACCAAGGAUUCAUUGUAUAAUUAUUCAGGUCCUCUAGUCGCAAAGUUAUAGAGUCAUAGACACGAGUCUUGUGCAAUCAUACAUUUUUACUUGAUUAAAGUAUUAUGUAUACAAGUAAUUUCUAGAUCCAACAAACAUUUUUAUUGAUUUAGUUUAAUACAUAUAAACCUUAAUCAAAACCAAAAACAAAGCUUCUAUACAAGUUGCUUUAAACCUAACCAAAAUUUUCAAUCUUUUUUUUUUCUUUUCUUAUAAUUAUUUUCUUUUAAGGUACUAUUGAAUAAUGACCACCAUUUUUUAUGUUAAUGUACAUCUCUUCGAAUUAUUGUGCUCAUCCUAAAAUAUGAAUAUCCCAGCGGAGAAACUCUGCUCGCCGGCACAAGGAGAGCUUAAAACGUCGACGUUUCCGGAGACUUGCGAUUU
rnacentral:lncRNA from 1 species